GGCCUCAGGUGAUGAUGAAAAAUGACCAGGAAACACCGUGAACAAACUGGAAUGCAUUCGUACUGUCUGAUGGGGCC